GUCUGUGGCCAUACCACCCUGAAUACAUCUAAUUCUGACUGAUCUCAUAAGCUAAGCAGGGUUGUGCUUUGUUAGUACUUAGAUGACAAAUUCCCUUUUAAAGAUCUAAGUAUUCGGGAAACAGACUUGGCCCAGUGG
rnacentral:rRNA from 1 species